GCAGCUUCAACUUCCUCAGCUCUCGAAACUAUCUUAAAGGAUGUUUGCUUUGUUCUGUACACGGGAGGAUAGCCACUGCUUACAGAAGGAAGAAAUUGCUACUGAGUGAUCCAUUACCCUCCUCCUGCAAUAUGUCCCUACAUACUACAUAAACCUGUACUGGAAGGAAGUUUGAACUUUAAUUUUUAUCGUGCUCACCUCUGUAUCUAAGGGUUAGAUAUUUAAAAGGAUUUAAGUGCUGGGCAGACAAAGGUGUUUAAUAUCCAAGUCCCUGUUGAUGUAGUGAGAACAACACACUGUGCAGAAAUACUGGUGUGUCUUUGAGGACUACAGCUCAGGAUUGUGAGUGUCCACUAGCAUAGCCUGUACUGCACCACAGGGACUGCACAAAAAUGCCUAUGAAUGCUUCAAACCCAGGCUGGUAUUUUGAAAUAAAGGAGAAAAGUCCCAUUAAAAGAUAGUAGCGGCACUCCACAAAAUACUGAAAGUGACAGCCCACCUGAGCCACCUCACAAGGAUAAAUGACUUCAGCAAAUCUUGCUUUUGGAGCUAGUUGUUUCAGGAAGCUGAUGUACAUAUAUAUGCAGAUGACAGCACAUCCUGGCCACCAACAUAUUAAUCCAGUUUUCAUUUCACAGGAAA